rnacentral:rRNA from 1 species
CCUACGGGGGGCUGCAGUGGGGAAUAUUGGACAAUGGGCGAAAGCCUGAUCCAGCCAUGCCGCGUGUGUGAAGAAGGCCUUCGGGUUGUAAAGCACUUUCAGUGGGGAAGAAAGCCUUGGGGCUAAUACCCUCGAGGAAGGACAUCACCCACAGAAGAAGCACCGGCUAACUCCGUGCCAGCAGCCGCGGUAAUACGGAGGGUGCGAGCGUUAAUCGGAAUUACUGGGCGUAAAGCGCGCGUAGGCGGUCUGAUAAGCCGGUUGUGAAAGCCCCGGGCUCAACCUGGGAACGGCAUCCGGAACUGUCAGGCUAGAGUGCAGGAGAGGAAGGUAGAAUUCCCGGUGUAGCGGUGACAUGCGUAGAGAUCGGGAGGAAUAACAGUGGCGAAGGCGGCCUUCUGGACUGACACUGACGCUGAGGUGCGAAAGCGUGGGUAGCAAACAGGAUUAGAUACCCUUGUAGUC